CUGUGUGUGAUGGGAUGGCAGUGUAUGUUAGCUGGUUGAAAUUCUGACAUCAGCUAACAUGCAGUUGCUUAUCCUUUUCCACAUACC
rnacentral:pre_miRNA from 1 species